rnacentral:rRNA from 1 species
AUUGAACGCUGGCGGCAUGCUUUACACAUGCAAGUCGAACGGUAACAGGCCGCCAGGUGCUGCCGAGUGGCGAACGGGUGUGUAAUGCAUCGGAACGUGCCCAGUCGUGGGGGAUAACUACUCGAAAGAGUAGCUAAUACCGCAUACGAUCUAUGGAUGAAAGCGGGGGACCGUAAGGCCUCGCGCGAUUGGAGCGGCCGAUGUCAGAUUAGGUAGUUGGUGGGGUAAAGGCUCACCAAGCCAACGAUCUGUAGCUGGCCUGAGAGGACGACCAGCCACACUGGGACUGAGACACGGCCCAGACUCCUACGGGAGGCAGCAGUGGGGAAUUUUGGACAAUGGGCGCAAGCCUGAUCCAGCAAUGCCGCGUGCAGGAAGAAGGCCUUCGGGUUGUAAACUGCUUUUGUACGGAACGAAACGGCUCUGGUUAAUACCCGGGGCUAAUGACGGUACCGUAAGAAUAAGCACCGGCUAACUACGUG